AUGGGUUUGGUUCAGAUCUUUUUUCCCAAGUUUCUCAUUUUUCUAGGACCAGCAGCUGUGCAGGAAUGUUCCUCUAAAGAAGAUGGGAAAAGUUUAAGAAGCACGAUUAACCAGGAAAACAGUGCUAGGGAUGAAUCAUGGCUGCACCAUCUAAUUUCAUCUACUCUUAAAGGAGCAGGAUCCCCGAUGAAUCAUCACCAAGUAUGUGAUCCAACUAUAUUAACUACAAGCUGGAAAAAAAAUCACAACUCUGGACCUCAGUUUGUUUAACUACAACAUGCCAUGGAUAUCUAUACUAGUUUCCUGGGCCCUGCCAUCACAAGGAACUGCACCCCGAGUCUACUAAUAUUGUCUCAGAGCCUGGAAGUUGAAAGUCUGACAUCAAGGUGUUGGCAGGGUUGGUUACUUCUGAGAGUUGCAAGGGAUAAAUUGUUCCAGGCUCGUCUCCUAGCUUCUGGGGGCCUCAGAUAUUCCUCAACUUGUUGCCAGUAUUCUCCCUGUGUCUUCACAUCUCCUUCUUGGUAGGUGUUUGUCUCUGUGUCCAAAUUUUCCCUUUUCACAAGUACACCAUCAUACUGGACUGGGGGGCAUUCUCAACCAUCUGCAUCUGCAAAAAUCUUUCAUCUGCAAAAGUAGAUCAUCUGUAAAAACCUUAUUUCUGCAUAAGGUCACAUUCACAGGGACUGGUGGUUAAGACUUGAACAUCUUUUCAGGGGACACGGUUUGACCCAUAACAAUGUCCAUCUCUUGGAUUUUUUCAUAAUACAUGUCACGCAUGUGUAUGGAUUGGAAAGUGAGCUAUGGAGAGUGAAAAAUUGUAAGACACGUGCUGGUUCAUUGAAGGAAGAGAACAUGACUGUCUGAAGAAACAAAGUGAUGGAGAAGAAGCUCUGGCUAUGAGUCAAAACACUGUCACUCACUAGCCAGUGUCUGGGAAAGCCAUUUCCUUACUUUCAUGACAGUUUCCAUGACCAUAUAAUAAGCAAUCUCAAUUGGUCCCCUUUUGCCAAGUGUCUCGAUGUUGUUGGAUGCUCUCGGCCAACACUUUGAACUUCCAUUGAAACCUUUCUUUUUCUAGUGCUUUCUGACACUAAGCCCUGACCUAAGCCAGGUGAGCUCUUGCUGAGGUCUGAGUAGCAAGCACAAUGGUGGUAAUGAA
rnacentral:lncRNA from 1 species